rfam:Triticum aestivum genome assembly, contig: Triticum_aestivum_CS42_TGACv1_scaffold_063262_1DL
AAAAUACUCACUUCGCCCGGAAAUACUUGUUGGAGAAAUGGAUGUAUCUAGAACUAAAAUACGUCUAGAUACAUCCAUUUCGCCGACAAGUAUUUCUGGACGGAGGGAGUAUUAA